UGCAUUUAUAUUUCUAGCAACUUCAUUUAAUGGGAAAUCCUAAUAUGUUUGCUCUUUAUUGAUUUGCAGUUGAUAUAAUUUCUGACAUUGAGUUUGAUAAAACUGGCGACCAUCUUGCUACUGGUGACCGUGGGGUUAGAGUGGUAUUAUUUGAAAGGAGUGAUACAAAGGAGCUUGUUGGAAGUCGAAGAGAGUUAGAGAGGACAGACUAUCCUGUUAGUCGGCACCCAGAGUUCCGGUACAAGACAGAAUUUCAAAGCCAUAAACCUGAGCUAUGUUAUGAAGUCUCGCGAUUCUGAAGUCCCUGAAUCCAGUCGUGAUGCUCGGAAUAGUAAACAAAGCGAGCAGUAUGCUUGUAAUGAGAGUCGACGGGCAGAGAGGAACUUGAGACGCCGAAAUGCUUACGCAACAAUGGAUCCUGCUAAGAAACGAAAAAUGCUAGAUGAUAUUAACGAAAAGCGUCGCGUCAAAAGUAAUGCAGCUAAAUCUACA